GAAAUGCGAUAAGUAAUGUGAAUUGCAGAAUUCAGUGAAUCAUCGAAUCUUUGAACGCACCUUGCGCUCCUUGGUAUUCCUUGGAGCAUGCCUGUUUGAGUAUCAUGAAAUCUUCAAAGUAAAUCUUUUGUUAACUCAAUUGGUUUCUACUUUGGUAUUGGAGGUCUUUGCAGCUUCACACCUGCUCCUCUUUGUUCAUUAGCUGGAUCUCAGUGUUAUGCUUGGUUCCACUCGGCGUGAUAAGUUAUCUAUCGCUGAGGACACUGUAAAAGGUGGCAAAGGUAAAUGCAGAUGAACCGCUUCUAAUAGUCCAUUGACUUGGACAAUAAUUUUAUGAUCUGAUCUCAAAUCAGGUAGGACUACCCGCUGAACUUAAGC
rnacentral:misc_RNA from 1 species